rnacentral:rRNA from 1 species
GACGAACGCUGGCGGCGUGCUUAACACAUGCAAGUCGAACGGUGAAGCGCCUUCCUUUUUGGUGGGUGUGGAUGAGUGGCGAACGGGUGAGUAACACGUGAGUAACCUGCCCCCUUCUUCUGGAUAACCGCAUGAAAGUGUGGCUAAUACGGGAUAUUCUGGGUCUGUCGCAUGAUGGGUCUGGGAAAGAUAUUGUUUCGGUGGGGGAUGGGCUCGCGGCCUAUCAGCUUGUUGGUGGGGUGAUGGCCUACCAAGGCGGUGACGGGUAGCCGGCCUGCGAGGGUGGACGGUCACACUGGGACUGAGACACGGCCCAGCCUCCUACGGGAGGCAGCAGUGGGGAAUAUUGCACAAUGGGCGCAAGCCUGAUGCAGCGACGCCGCGUGAGGGAUGGAGGCCUUCGGGUUGUGAACCUCUUUCGCCAGUGAAGCAGGCCUGCCUCGUUUGUGGGUGGGUUGACGGUAGCUGGAUAAGAAGCGCCGGCUAACUACGUG